rnacentral:lncRNA from 1 species
UUAAAAGUAGGGAAAAUUUCAAAAACCCUCCCUGUGGUUUCGUAGUUUCUCACUUUGCCCCUCUGGGUUUAAAAUGUAUCAAUUUGCCCCCUGUGGUUUCUUUUUUCUCUUUUUCUUAUCAAUUUCAUUAUUUUUUUUUCUUAAAUCAGUGACAAAGUUAAAAUUAAAGAGUACUAAAGUGAAUAUUUGAUAAAUCUAGAUGGGUAUCUGAAGUUUUUUAUAUAUAAUUUAAUGAAAUAUUAACGAAAAAGCUACCGAAAAGAUAAAAACGAAACUACAGGGGGGCAAUUUGAUACAUUUUAAACCACAUGGGGAGUUUAUGAAGUUUUCCCUUAAAAGUA